UGAAAUUUACCCAUCUGCCCAGUUACACUGAAAUUUACAUUGACGAGUUUCCAAUAGCAAUAAACAUGUAAGUUGAAGCUUCUGAGUUCUGACAUCAUCCUCAAUCUACAAUUGCACCCUGAAAACGUGAAACGUUAGUAAAGGGACCUCAUACUCGACUUUAAUGUGCUAAAAGGCACCUUCACCAGACAGGGUGAAAGUGAAUUCCAUUAACUGCACAUAAGUUACAGCAAAGAACAAUCAUAUGCCUAUUUAUAAGGAAUUCAGUCAUUGCAACAGCAUAUGAAGCCGAAAACUAAUGAAUAAAGCAGCUGGCCAGUGAUUUAAGAUAAUGCAAAGUUUACUCCAAGGCUCUAGGCCAGACUGCUUGUCUUCCUUUUAUAUUCAAGGUUACAAAAAUUAUCUAUAGCUGGAUAGUUAAUCUAGCCCUAGACGAUGGGAAUCUAAAGUCCAUGUGCCAGCAAGAAGUCAGUUCGAUUCCAGCCAGCAAGAAAGAAAUCAUCAACUGGAUUGUCAACACAUGAAUAUCAAAAUAAUAAAAACAUUACACAUCAGUCGCAAGGAAAUGCAGUUGAAAAUAGCAACGAAUUUCAAUCCCCAAAACUGAAAUUUGUUUUUGUUUUCUAUCAUAAUGCAGUCAAAAGUCUAAUCCAAAACUUCGCAAGACAUUAAGCUUUAUACCGAUCCAUAUGGUCAUGGUAAUUUCAGAUGCUUGAAGUAUAAAAUUACCAACAGGAUUUGAUAAUGUAACAGAAUACAAAGCUAUUUUGAGUCUCAUUAAAAUUACUAAUGGUUUAAAAUCUUAGACUGGAUUCAUCCUAUCACAAUUUGCAAGCUACAUGUUAUUUGGCAGUCUAUUUUGACCAGCAGGACUCUGAAAGGGAAAUGUGCCCUUGGGCCAUUUCUAAGUAUUUCGGUGAUUGAGUGCCAACACAAGUGCUUAAUUGUGAAUCUAUGCCCAUGGAUGAACAAAGUGCAAAUCAAGAGCAAAGGUAUGUUUCUAAGUCUUAGUACAUUGGUUUUGUGUACUAAUAUACUUGUCUAAGUAUCAGAAACAGAAAGAAGAAGAAAAGAGAAGAGUUGGCUGUGUACAGCCAAGAGGCUGUUUCGGUCUGGGGCACCGGACUGUCCGGUGGUGCACCGGACAGUGUCUGGUGCGCCAGGCUGCCUCAAGCGAAGUGGCCGCUCUCGGGAAUUUGCCGACGGCGUACGACUAAAAUUCACCGGACUGUCCGGUGUGCACCGGACUGUCCGGUGAGCCAACGGUCGGCCGGGCCAACGGUCGGCCGCGCGAUCCGCGCGGGACACGUGGCCGAGCCAACGGCUAGAAGGGGGCACCGGACUGUCCGGUGUGCACCGGACAUGUCCGGUGCGCCAACGGCUCCAAGUCUGCCAACGGUCGGCUUCGCUAUUUAAGGAAGGAAAUCGGGCACCGGACAGUGUCCGGUGUGCACCGGACAGUGUCCGGUGCACCCGACGACAGAAGGCAAGAAGGGCCUUCCAGAUUUGCUCUCAACGGCUCCUAGCUGCCUUGGGGCUAUAAAAGGGACCCCUAGGCGCAUGGAGGAGGACACCAAGCAACCUUAGAGCAUUCUUGAUCAUCCACACUCAGUCUUUGCGCAUUCGUUUGUCUUUCUAAGUGAUUCGAGCUCCGUUCUAGUGAGAACUUUGAGAUAGUCUUUGAGCUCGAUUCUUGGCCGUGUGUGUGCGCAUUCUUGCUGUGGAUUUGUGUGUGUUGCUUCCCUUCCUUACUCCGUGAUUCUUUGUGAACAUCAAAAGUGUAAGGGCGAGAGGCUCCAAGUUGUGGAGAUUCCUCGCGAACGGGAUAAGAAAAGAAAAGCAUAACACUGUGGUAUUCAAGUUGAUCAUUGGAUCACUUGAGAGGAGUUGAGUGCAACUCUCGUCCGUUGGGACGCCACAACGUGGAGUAGGCAAGUUUUGUACUUGGCCGAACCACGGGAUAAAUCACUGUGUCUUCUCUGUGUUGAAUUCUUUGUGAUUAUCGUAUUGUGCAAGACCUUCUCUCUAGCCACUUGGCGAUUAUUGUGCUAACACUUAACAAGUUUUUGUGGCUAUAAGUUUAAGUUUCACAGGAUCACCUAUUCACCCCCCCCUCUAGGUGCUCUCAAUUGGUAUCGGAGCCGUUCUCUUCAAGAAAGGGACUAACCGCCCGAAGAGAUGGAUCCUAAGGGGAAGGGAAUCGUGAUCAACGAUAAAGAGAAGGAGUCCUUCGUCAACGAGCCCAAAGAUGACAAGCCUAUCGACUCCGGCUCGGGCCAUAGACGGAAGGAAGGGAAGAAGAAGAAGACAAGGCGCAUCAAGGAGAUCGUCUACUACGACGACAGCGACGAAUCUUCCUCUUCCCAAAAGGACAACAACGACAACGACUUUGACAAACAAAAGACGGUUAACUCAAACUUUUCUUUUGAUUAUUCGCGCAUUCCGCAUAGCUCAAAUGCUCAUUUGCUCCCCAUUCCACUUGGCAAGCCUCCUCACUUUGAUGGAGAGGACUACGGAUUUUGGAGUCACAAAAUGCGUACUCACCUAUUUUCUCUCCAUCCAAGCAUUUGGGAGAUUGUGGAAAGUGGAAUGAAAUUUGAUUGCUCGGAUAGCCCUUCGUUUAUUAAUGAACAGAUCCAUAAAAAUGCACAAGCUACUACUGUGUUGCUAGCCUCUUUGUGCAGGGAUGAGUAUCACAAGGUGAGCGGCUUGGACAAUGCCAAGCAGAUUUGGGACACCCUCAAGAUCUCUCAUGAGGGGAAUGAUGUCACCUUACUCACCAAGAUGGAGUUGGUGGAGGGCGAGCUCGGACGAUUCGUGAUGAUAAGGGGCGAGGAGCCGACACAAACAUACAACCGGCUCAAGAUCCUUAUCAACAAAAUAAGGAGCUAUGGAAGCACGCGAUGGACGGAUCACGACGUCGUCCGCCUAAUGCUAAGGUCAUUUACCGUUCUUGAUCCUCACUUGGUGAACAAUAUUCGUGAAAAUCCUAGGUACAUCAAGAUGUCGCCCGAAGAAAUUCUUGGAAAAUUUGUAAGCGGGCGAAUGAUGAUCAAGGAGGCGAGGUACGUGGACGACGCGUUGAAUGGCCCAAUCCAUGAGCCUCAACCCAUUGCUCUCAAGGCAACAAGGAGCAAGGAGGCGCUACCCAGCAAGGUGGCGCAAAUUGAGGCGGCCGGUCUUAAUGAUGAAGAGAUGGCCCUCAUCAUCAAAAGAUUCAAGACGGCACUAAAGGGUCGCAAGGGACAGCCAAGCAAGACUAAGAUCAAGGGAAAGCGAUCAUGCUUCAAAUGCGGUAAGCUUGGUCAUUUUAUUGCUAACUGUCCCGACAAUGAUAGUGACCAGGAACACGGGAGCAAGAGGGAAAAGAAGAAGCAUUACAAAAAGGCCAAGGGCGAGGCACAUAUCGGAAAGGAGUGGGAUUCAGAUUGCUUCUCCUCCGACUCCGACAAUGAAGGACUCGCCGCCACUGCCUUCAACAAGUCAUCCCUCUUCCCCAACGAGCGUCACACAUGCCUUAUGGCAAGGGAGAAGAAGGUAUGUAAUCAAAACAAUGUCACUUAUGAUUCUUCCAGUGAUGAUGAGUCUAGUGAUGAUGAAAUAGAUUACUCUAGUUUGUUCAAGGGAUUGGAUAGAACUAAAGUAGAUAAAAUUAAUGAAUUGAUUGAUGCCUUGAAUGAAAAAGAUAGACUCUUAGAAAAACAAGAGGACCUUUUGUAUGAAGAGCACGACAAAUUUGUAGAGGCACAAAAGUCUUAUGCAUUAGAAGUUAAAAGAAAUGAAGUGCUUUCUAGUGAACUAUCUUCUUGUCAUGAAACCAUUGCUACUUUAAAGAGUGUUAAUGAUGACUUAAAUGCCAAACUAGAAGUAGCUAGUAAAUCUAAUUCUUGUGUAGAACAUGUUGAGAUCUGCACUAGGUGUAAAGAUUUCGAUGUUGAUGCUUGUAGUGAUCAUUCAGUUUCAAUUUCUAAAUUAACUGAGGAAUUGGCUAGUCUUAAUGCCCAACUUAAGACUAGCAAGAAUGAAUUUGAUAAACUAAAAUUUGCAAGGGAUGCCUACACGAUCGGUAGACACCCCUCAAUUAAGGAUGGACUUGGCUUCAAGAGGGAAGGCAAGAACUUAACAAGCCAUAAGGCUCCCAUUCCCGCUAAGGAGAAAGGGAAGGCCCCUAUGGCUACUAGUGAUAAAAAAACCAUGCCUUUUUGUAUCAUGAUAGGAGACAAACUAGAAAUGCUUAUAGGAGUUAUAAUACGUACGAUGAUUUUUCUCAUGCUAUGUUUGCUUCUAGUUCUUCAUAUGUGCAUGAUAGAAAUGUUGGUAGAAGGGAUGUUGUUCAUAAUAUGCCUAGGAGAAAUGUUGUUAAUAUUCCUAGGAAAUUUAAUGAGCCUUCUACAAUAUAUCAUGCUUUGAAUGCUUCCUUUGCAAUUUGUCGAAAGGAUAGAAAGGUAAUUGCUAGGAAGUUAGGGGCAAGAUGCAAGGGAGACAAAACUUGCAUUUGGGUCCCUAAGAAUAUUUGUGCUAACCUUGUAGGACCCAACAUGAGUUGGGUACCUAAAACCCAAGCCUAAAUUUGCCUUGCAGGUUUAUGCAUCCGGGGGUUCAAGCUGGAUUAUCGACAGCGGAUGCACAAACCAUAUGAUGGGGGAGAAGAAGAUGUUCACCUCCUACGUCAAGAAUAAGGAUUCCCAAGAUUCAAUAAUAUUCGGUGAUGGGAAUCAAGGCAAGGUAAAAGGGUUAGGUAAAAUUGCAAUCUCAAAUGAGCACUCUAUAUCUAAUGUGUUUUUAGUAGAGUCUCUUGGAUAUAAUUUGCUAUCUGUUAGUCAAUUAUGCAAUAUGGGUUAUAAUUGUCUUUUUACAAAUGUAGAUGUGUCUGUCUUUAGAAGAAGUGAUGGUUCACUAGCCUUUAAGGGUGUAUUAGACGGCAAGCUCUACUUAGUUGAUUUUGCAAAAGAAGAGGCCGGUCUAGAUGCAUGCUUAAUUGCUAAGACUAGCAUGGGUUGGCUGUGGCAUCGCCGCUUAGCACAUGUGGGGAUGAAGAAUCUUCACAAGCUUCUAAAGGGAGAACACGUGAUAGGUUUGACUAACGUACAAUUCGAAAAAGAUAGACCUUGUGCAGCUUGUCAGGCAGGUAAACAGGUGGGAGGAGCGCAUCACAGCAAGAAUGUGAUGACCACAUCAAGACCCCUGGAGCUGCUACAUAUGGACCUCUUCGGACCCGUCGCCUAUCUAAGCAUAGGAGGAAGUAAGUAUGGUUUAGUUAUUGUUGAUGACUUUUCCCGCUUCACUUGGGUGUUCUUUUUGUAGGAUAAGUCUGAAACCCAAGGGACCCUCAAGCGCUUCCUCAGGAGAGCUCAAAAUGAGUUUGAGCUCAAGGUGAAGAAGAUAAGGAGCGACAACGGGUCCGAGUUCAAGAACCUUCAAGUGGAGGAGUUCCUUGAGGAGGAAGGGAUCAAGCACGAGUUCUCCGCUCCCUACACACCACAGCAAAAUGGUGUGGUAGAGAGAAAGAACAGGACGCUAAUCGACAUGGCGAGGACGAUGCUUGGAGAAUUCAAGACCCCCGAGCGUUUUUGGUCGGAAGCCGUGAACACGGCUUGCCACGCCAUCAACAGGGUCUACCUUCAUCGCCUCCUCAAGAAGACUUCGUAUGAGCUACUAACCGGUAACAAACCCAAUGUAUCUUACUUUCGUGUAUUUGGGAGCAAGUGCUACAUUCUAGUGAUGAAGGGUAGAAAUUCUAAAUUUGCUCCCAAAGCUGUAGAAGGGUUUUUGUUAGGUUAUGACUCAAAUACAAAGGCGUAUAGAGUCUUCAACAAAUCAUCGGGUUUGGUUGAAGUCUCUAGUGACGUUGUAUUUGAUGAGACUAAUGGCUCUCCAAGAGAGCAAGUUGUUGAUUUUGAUGAUGUAGAUGAAGAAGAUGUUCCGACGGCCGCUAUACGAACCAUGGCGAUUGGAGAAGUGCGGCCACAGGAACAAUAUGAACGAGAUCAACCUUCUUCCUCAACAACGGUGCAUCCCCCACCUCAAGAUGAUGAACAGGUUCAUCAAAAGGAGGCGUGUGAUCAAGGGGGAGCACAAGAUGAUCACAUGAUGGAGGAAGAAGCGCAACCGGCACCUCCAACCCAAGUUCGAGCGGUGAUUCAAAGGGAUCAUCCCGUCGACCAAAUUUUGGGUGACAUUAGCAAGGGAGUAACUACUCGAUCUCGAUUAGUUAAUUUUUGUGAGCAUUACUCCUUUGUCUCUUCUAUUGAGCCUUUCAGGGUAGAGGAGGCCUUGCUAGAUCCGGAUUGGGUAUUGGCCAUGCAGGAGGAACUCAACAACUUCAAGCGCAAUGAAGUUUGGACACUGGUGCCUCGUCCCAAGCUAAAUGUUGUGGGAACCAAGUGGGUGUUCCGCAACAAACAGGACGAGCACGGGGUGGUGACGAGGAACAAGGCUCGACUUGUGGCAAAAGGUUAUGCCCAAGUCGCAGGUUUGGACUUUGAGGAGACUUUUGCUCCUGUGGCUAGGCUAGAGUCAAUUCGCAUCUUGCUAGCAUAUGCCGCUCACCAUUCUUUCAGGUUGUACCAAAUGGAUGUGAAGAGCGCUUUCCUCAACGGGCCGAUCAAGGAGGAGGUGUACGUGGAGCAACCCCUUGGCUUCGAGGAUGAACGGUACCCCGACCACGUGUGUAAGCUCUCUAAGGCGCUCUAUGGACUUAAGCAAGCCCCAAGAGCAUGGUAUGAAUGCCUUAGAGACUUUUUAAUUGCUAAUGCUUUCACGGUUGGGAAAGCCGAUCCAACUCUUUUUACUAAGACAUAUGAUGGUGAUUUGUUUGUGUGCCAAAUUUAUGUCGAUGACAUAUUAUUUGGUUCUACUAACCAAAAGUCUUGUGAAGAGUUUAGCAGGGUGAUGACGCAGAAAUUCGAGAUGUCGAUGAUGGGCGAGUUGAACUACUUCCUUGGGUUCCAAGUGAAGCAACUCAAGGACGGCACCUUCAUCUCCCAAACGAAGUACACACAAGAUUUGCUAAAGAGGUUUGGGAUGAAGGACGCCAAGCCCGCAAAGACGCCGAUGGGAACCGAUGGACACACCGACCUCAACAAAGGUGGUAAGUCCGUUGAUCAAAAAGCAUACCGGUCCAUGAUAGGGUCUUUACUUUAUUUAUGUGCUAGUAGACCGGAUAUUAUGCUUAGCGUAUGCAUGUGUGCUAGAUUUCAAUCCGAUCCUAAGGAGUGUCACUUAGUGGCGGUGAAGCGAAUUCUUAGAUAUUUGGUUGCUACGCCUUGCUUCGGGCUCUAGUAUCCAAAGGGGUCUACCUUUGACUUGGUUGGAUACUCAGAUUCCGACUAUGCUGGAUGUAAGGUCGAUAGGAAGAGUACAUCAGGGACGUGCCAAUUCUUAGGAAGGUCCCUGGUGUCGUGGAACUCUAAGAAACAAACCUCCGUUGCCCUAUCCACCGCUGAGGCCGAGUAUGUUGUCGCAGGACAGUGUUGCGCGCAACUACUUUGGAUGAGGCAAACCCUCCGGGACUUUGGCUACAAUCUGAGCAAAGUCCCACUCCUAUGUGAUAAUGAGAGUGCUAUCCGCAUGGCGGAAAAUCCUGUUGAACACAGCCGCACAAAGCACAUAGACAUCCGGCAUCACUUUUUGAGAGACCACCAGCAAAAGGGAGAUAUCGAAGUGUUUCAUGUUAGCACCGAGAACCAGCUAGCCGAUAUCUUUACCAAGCCUCUAGAUGAGAAGACCUUUUGCAGGUUGCGUUGUGAGCUCAAUGUCUUAGAUUCGCGGAACUUGGAUUGAAUUGUAGCAUACAUGUAUUUAUGCUUUUGAUCAUGUUCCUUUUUGCAUUUUGUUGCUUAUUAUGGUGCUCAAGCUGUACAAACACUCCCUGGACCUCACAAGUCCGUUGCAAAGUGAUGCACAUGUUUAGGGGGAGAUGUGUUACAACUUGACCCUUUGAGACUAACCAUGUGCUUGAGUUUGAUGAUUUAGUCUCGAAGGAGGAUUGAAAGGGAAAAGGUGGACUUGGACCAUGCAAGACUUCCACUGCACUCCGAUGAGAGGGUAACUUAUUCCAAGUUCAUCUCAUAAACUCUUAUUGCCAUUUGAUCUUAAUUGAAGACUUUGGUGAGGCAAUGGGGUUAUAGGGCCAAGAUUGAUCCCGUUUUGGUGCUUGAUGCCAAAGGGGGAGAAAAUAAAGGCCAAAGCAAUAAAUGGAUCAGCUACCACUUGAGAAACUUUGAAAACAGUAGGAUAGAGCUUUUGGUUUGGCAAAACUCUUGCAUUGUCUCUUUGCGUUGUCUCUUUUGUCAAAAGUUGGUCUCUUGUGGGGAGAAGUGUUGAUUAUGGGAAAAAGGGGGAGUUUUUGGAAUCUUGAAUCAAUUGUCUUUGGAAAACCUCUCUUUAUGUCUCUACAAGUGGAUUUGACUUAGAGAUAGGAUUUUGUGUUUGAUUUGCGAAAACAAACCAAGUGGUGGCAAAGGAUGAUCCAUAUAUGCCAAAAUUGAAUCAAAAUAAAUUUGAGUUUUUAUUUGAAGUGAUAUUGCACUUGUUCUAGUUGCUUUAUGUUGUGUUGGCAUAAAUCACCAAAAAGGGGGAGAUUGAAAGGGAAAUGUGCCCUUGGGCCAUUUCUAAGUAUUUCGGUGAUUGAGUGCCAACACAAGUGCUUAAUUGUGAAUCUAUGCCCAUGGAUGAACAAAGUGCAAAUCAAGAGCAAAUGUAUGUUUCUAAGUCUUAGUACAUUGGUUUUGUGUACUAAUAUACUUGUCUAAGUAUCAGAAACAGAAAGAAGAAGAAAAGAGAAGAGUUGGCUGUGUACAGCCAAGAGGCUGUUUCGGUCUGGGGCACCGGAUUGUCCGGUGGUGCACCGGACAGUGUCCGGUGCGCCAGGCUGCCUCAAGCGAAGUGGCCGCUCUCGGGAAUUUGCCGACGGCGUACGGCUAAAAUUCACCGGACUGUCCGGUGUGCACCGGACUGUCCGGUGAGCCAACGGUCGGCCGGGCCAACGGUCGGCCGCGCGAUCCGCGCGGGACACGUGGCCGAGCCAAUGGCUAGAAGGGGGCACCGGACUGUCCGGUGUGCACCGGACAUGUCCGGUGCGCCAACGGCUCCAAGUCUGCCAACGGUCGGCUUCGCUAUUUAAGGAAGGAAAUCGGGCACCGGACAGUGUCCGGUGUGCACCGGACUGUCCGGUGCACCCGACGACAGAAGGCAAGAAGGGCCUUCCAGAUUUGCUCUCAACGGCUCCUAGCUGCCUUGGGGCUAUAAAAGGGACCCCUAGGCGCAUGGAGGAGGACACCAAGCAACCUUAGAGCAUUCUUGAUCAUCCACACUCAGUCUUUGCGCAUUCGUUUGUCUUUCUAAGUGAUUCGAGCUCCGUUCUAGUGAGAACUUUGAGAUAGUCUUUGAGCUCGAUUCUUGGCCGUGUGUGUGCGCAUUCUUGCUGUGGAUUUGUGUGUGUUGCUUCCCUUCCUUACUCCGUGAUUCUUUGUGAACAUCAAAAGUGUAAGGGCGAGAGGCUCCAAGUUGUGGAGAUUCCUCGCGAACGGGAUAAGAAAAGAAAAGCAUAACACUGUGGUAUUCAAGUUGAUCAUUGGAUCACUUGAGAGGAGUUGAGUGCAACUCUCGUCCGUUGGGACGCCACAACGUGGAGUAGGCAAGUUUUGUACUUGGCCGAACCACGGGAUAAAUCACUGUGUCUUCUCUGUGUUGAAUUCUUUGUGAUUAUCGUAUUGUGCAAGACCUUCUCUCUAGCCACUUGGCGAUUAUUGUGCUAACACUUAACAAGUUUUUGUGGCUAUAAGUUUAAGUUUCACAGGAUCACCUAUUCACCCCCCCCCCUCUAGGUGCUCUCAGACUCAAAAUAGCUUGUCUAAUUUACAAGCAGGACUUGAUAAUGUAACAGAAAUGUCUAAUCUAGUAUCUUCUAAGUGAGACUCAAAAUCAACUGAGCGAAGUUACAUGGUCAAGUCCAAUAAAAAAAUACACAAAAAUUCACUAACAGGAUCAGGACAUGGAAAAUAUAGGCGAAUCAAGAAUGUUAGUGAAAACAUGCCCUCUCCUUACUUGCUGGUAGGAAUUCCUGAAUUUCGGAGCUGACAUUUUUCAAGCUCUAGAUUGCUCACUUGUGAAGAUGACCUUAGGAUGAUUUAUGUCC
rnacentral:lncRNA from 1 species